CCUCUAAUAGGUGGUAAUCCCGGUGGCACGUCUUGUGAAAAGACGUCAGCGAACUCCUGCAAAAUGUUAAUGACAGCAGGAGGCAAAGAGGAUGGCAUGUCCUCAAAUGAAAAUAAUACCUCUUUGCAGACGAAAGCAUAGCAAACAGAUGUAGUGAUAUCCAAAUCAGUAAUAUCGGAUUUAGUGGCAAGUAAACAACCACUUUUCAGUUUUAUUUCAGAGGCAACACUA
rnacentral:lncRNA from 1 species